rnacentral:rRNA from 1 species
AUUGAACGCUGGCGGCAUGCCUUACACAUGCAAGUCGAACGGUAACGGGCCUUCGGGUGCCGACGAGUGGCGAACGGGUGAGUAAUGCAUCGGAACGUACCCAUCAGUGGGGGAUAACUCUCCGAAAGGAGGGCUAAUACCGCAUAUUCUGUGCGCAGGAAAGCGGGGGACCGCAAGGCCUCGCGCCGAUGGAGCGGCCGAGGUCGGAUUAGCUAGUUGGUGGGGUAAAGGCCUACCAAGGCGACGAUCUGUAGCGGUUCUGAGAGGAUGAUCCGCCACACUGGGACUGAGACACGGCCCAGACUCCUACGGGAGGCAGCAGUGGGGAAUUUUGGACAAUGGGGGGCAACCCUGAUCCAGCCAUGCCGCGUGAGUGAAGAAGGCCUUCGGGUUGUAAAGCUCUUUCGGCCGGGAAGAAAUCGCAUCUCCUAAUACGGGGUGUGGAUGACGGUACCGGAAUAAGAAGCACCGGCUAACUACGUGCCAGCCGCCGCCGUAA